CUUCCGUAGGGUAACCUGCGGAAGGAUCAUUACCGAGUGAGGGCCCUCUGGGUCCAACCUCCCACCCGUGUUUAUUUUUCCUUGUUGCUUCGGCGGGCCCGCCUUAACUGGCCGCCGGGGGGCUCACGCUCCCGGGCCCGCGCCCGCCGAAGACACCCUCGAACUCUGUCUGAAGAUUGUAGUCUGAGUGAAGAUAUAAAUUAUUUAAAACUUUCAACAACGGAUCUCUUGGUUCCGGCAUCGAUGAAGAACGCAGCGAAAUGCGAUACGUAAUGUGAAUUGCAAAUUCAGUGAAUCAUCGAGUCUUUGAACGCACAUUGCGCCCCCUGGUAUUCCGGGGGGCAUGCCUGUCCGAGCGUCAUUGCUGCCCUCAAGCACGGCUUGUGUGUUGGGCCCCGUCCUCCGAUCCCGGGGGACGGGCCCGAAAGGCAGCGGCGGCACCGCGUCCGGUCCUCGAGCGUAUGGGGCUUUGUCACCCGCUCUGUAGGCCCGGCCGGCGCUUGCCGAUCAACCCAAAUUUUUAUCCAGGUUGACCUCGGAUCAGGUAGGGAUACCCGCUGAACUAAAGCAUAUCAAUAGGCGGAGGAA
rnacentral:rRNA from 1 species